rnacentral:lncRNA from 1 species
GCAGCGUUCGGGGCUCACCCAUCAGCCGCGGAGGCAAAGGGGGAGGAGAGAGGAGGCGGGAGGCGGGAGGAGGAGUUUCUGGGCGGCCGAGAGCCCCCGGUGGGGCUGGCUGAGAAGCGCCCUUCCCCCCGCGCGCUGAUUGCUGUGGCGUCCUGCCCGUCCCCGCCCGCGUGUGUGCGAGGGAGGGCGAGUGCGCCUGGUCGGCCCGAUGGGGGUAUUCGAGAGUUUCGGGGACGCCGAGAGGCACUUUCCUCUUCCCAGAGAGUGAGGGAGGGCAGUCGGCUGCUCUCGCGCCCGGCCACUUUCCCUGCGCGUUUCCCGGAGCUCCCUGCAGGAGGUGAGUCCCCGGCGGGUCCGGAUGGCGUAGUAGUGCCGCGGUGCAGCAGCUGCCGGAGCUCGCCGCCGCCGAGCGCUGGGCGGGGAAACUUUCCGCCGCUUUCCUCCAACUUGCCGCGGGUGGAUCUGCGCUGGACACACUGCCUCCGAGGUACGUGCCGGCCCAGCCCCGCGGCGCUGCAGCCCGCUGGGGUCGCGGGCUCUGCAGGCUGCGCGGCGCCCGUCGGUGCGGCGCGGGGUGCCAGUGCCUGCUUCCCGGCCGUGGUCACUCCAGCCGCAGGGACCUCCGGGCUUGAGAGGGCGGCGCUGGUGGGGCGGUGUUUACGCUCCGGGGAGCAGGGACUGGUGGCCAGCGGUGCGUGGGGAGCGGCCGCACGGGGCGGGCAGUGCUCCCGGCGAUGCGCAGUGCUGGGGAGGAAUUCUCCACGCCUGCCCUCACUCUUCCUCUCCAUGGUUCCUUCUGACCCCUGCGGGGCGCGGCGGCCACUUCCCUCCCGGUGCGUGAUAGCGCCGGUGGGAAUGGGUUGUUGUGGGUUCGCAGUCAAUUGCCGUGGCCCAGGCUGUGGCUCCUGGACUCAGGCACCUACGCGGUUUGCGCUCCCCGCUGGCCGCGCCCUCCCGGUGCUUCGCGGGCUGUGCAGCCAGCUGCAGCUCGGCCCCUCCCGCAGAGAACGCGCCCCGGUUUAUUUUGAAGGCUCUCUUCGUGUAUUCGUUUGGUUAGGACAAACUUGGAAAUCUUGGAAAUCUUGGGCUGUCGCUAGAAGAAUCUGCUUGCAGACUUGA